UUCGCAAUGCCCGAAAGGGUGAACGAGCGACGCCGCGUGCGGGAUGAAGGGUUUCGGCUUGUAAACCGCUUUUCUUUGGGAAGAAGGUCUGUCUCGUGCAGAUGGGCUCGACGGUACCAGAGGAAUAAGCCUCGGCUAACUCCGUGCCAGCAGCCGCGGUAAGACGGAGGAGGCAAGCGUUGUUCGGAAUUAUUGGGCGUAAAGGGCGCGUAGGCGGAUCGGUAAGUCUAGCGUGAAAUCUCCACCGCUUAACGGGGAGAGGUCGCUGGAAACUACCGAUCUGGAGGGACGUAGGGGGACCUGGAACUUCCGGUGGAGCGGUGAAAUGCGUUGAGAUCGGAAGGAACGCCCGUGGCGAAAGCGAGGUCCUGGACGUCUGCUGACGCUGAGACGCGAAAGCUAGGGGAGCAAACGGGAUUAGAUACCCCGGUAGUCCUAGCCGUAAACGAUGGGCACUAAGUAGAGGGGUUUU
rnacentral:rRNA from 1 species